rnacentral:rRNA from 1 species
UACGUAGGGGGCAAGCGUUGUCCGGAUUUAUUGGGCGUAAAGAGCGUGUAGGCGGCCAGGUAGGUCAGCUGUGAAAACUCGAGGCUCAACCUCGAGACGUCGGUUGAAACCACCUGGCUAGAGUCCGGAAGAGGAGAGUGGAAUUCCUGGUGUAGCGGUGAAAUGCGCAGAUAUCAGGAGGAACACCGGUGGCGAAGGCGGUUCUCUGGGCCUUACCUGACGCUGAGGAGCGAAAGCAUGGGGAGCAAACAGG